CCUACGGGGGGCAGUAGUGAGGAAUAUUGGUCAAUGGGCGAGAGCCUGAACCAGCCAAGUCGCGUGAAGGAUGACGGCCCUACGGGUUGUAAACUUCUUUUGUCAGGGAGCAAUUGAGUCCACGUGUGCUCUUAGCGAGAGUACCUGAAGAAAACGCAUCGGCUAACUCCUUGCCAGCAGCCGCGGUAAUCCGGAGGAUGCGCGCGUUAUCCGGAUUUAUUGGGUUUAAAGGGUGCGUAGCCGGAAUAGCAAGUCAGCGGUAAAAGUUCGGGGCUCAACCCCGUCGUGCCGUUGAAACUGAGGUUCUUGAGUGGGCGAGAAGUAUGCGGAAUGCGUGGUGUAGCGGUGAAAUGCAUAGAUAUCACGCAGAACUCCGAUUGCGAAGGCAGCAUACCGGCGCCCAACUGACGCUGAAGCACGAAAGCGUGGGUAUCGAACAGGAGUAGAUACCCGGGUAGUC
rnacentral:rRNA from 1 species